ACCAUUUGGCUUUGCAAUUAAAAACAGGUUUGGCUUCCCUCAGCAUCAGUAAGACAACGUCAAAGCAACAUUCAUCCUGAAAAUUUUCCCCUGUGAAUUCAAAUGAACUUUAUGUAUCUGAAGUCUGGUAAAAGAGAAGAAAGAAUAGAGGGGAUUAUUAGGUCUUUAAAUCUGGAGAAGUUGCCUUCCCAAACUUACCAUAAAUCAUAUUUAUGAGGAAGCCGUCUUUACGGAGACAAUGAAACUAAAGCACCUGCGCGCCGGAACCACAUCACUUACACAGCUUACAUAAUGCCCAACGGGAACAUGCAGGC